rnacentral:rRNA from 1 species
CCUACGGGGUGCAGCAGUGGGGGAUAUUGGACAAUGGGGGAAACCCUGAUCCAGCGACGCCGCGUGAGUGAAGAAGUAUUUCGGUAUGUAAAGCUCUGUCAGCAGGGAAGAAAGAAAUGACGGUACCUGACCAAGAAGCCCCGGCUAACUACGUGCCAGCAGCCGCGGUAAUACGUAGGGGGCAAGCGUUAUCCGGAAUUACUGGGUGUAAAGGGAGCGUAGACGGUGAUGCAAGUCUGGAGUGAAAGGCGGGGGCCCAACCCCCGGACUGCUCUGGAAACUGUGUAACUUGAGUGCAGGAGAGGUAAGCGGAAUUCCUAGUGUAGCGGUGAAAUGCGUAGAUAUUAGGAGGAACACCAGUGGCGAAGGCGGCUUACUGGACUGUAACGGACGCUCAUGCACGAAAGUGUGGGUAUCGAACAGGAUUAGAUACCCUAGUAGUC